rnacentral:tRNA from 1 species
GGGGUUGUGGCUCAAUGGUAGAGCACCCACCUCACAAGUGCGAGACCCUGGGUUCGAUCCUCAGCACCA